rnacentral:rRNA from 1 species
UGGGGAAUAUUGCACAAUGGAGGGAACUCUGAUGCAGCGACGCCGCGUGAGUGAUGAAGGACUUCGUUUCGUAAAACUCUGUUCUAUGGGAAGAAAAGGACUGUACCAUAGGAGAAAGCUCCGGCUAAAUACGUGCCAGCAGCCGCGGUAAUACGUAUGGAGCGAGCGUUGUCCGGAAUUAUUGGGCGUAAAGGGUGCGCAGGCGGCUUUACAAGUUGGAUGUGAAAUAUUGUGGCUCAACCACAAACGUGCAUCCAAAACUGCAAAGCUUGAGUUAAGGAGAGGUAAGUGGAAUUCCUGGUGUAGCGGUGGAAUGCGUAGUUAUCAGGAGGAAUACCGGUGGCGAAGGCGACUUACUGGACUUAAACUGACGCUCAGGCACGAAAGCGUGGGGAGCAAACAGG